UCUCUAUAUUUAUGGGUAUGUAUAAAUCCGAAUUAGGGUUAUUAGGAUUAGGAAAUUUGGGGCUUUUGGUCAAGAUGAGUAAGAUUAUGUUAAUUGACAAUGUUAGUAGCUCACAAACAUCAUUAUUGUCAUAUUUUUAGAGUUGUAGGGUUAUUGGACAUCAUUUGGUAGCUCGUUGGCGCGCUCAGAGUUGCUUCCGGUUCUUUGAAAUCAAGUUAUACAGGAGUCAUUCCAGGUUCCAUUCCACCUGCCCCUCAGUAGAUCUUAGUCAUUUUGGUGAGCCCUUCUUCUUUCCAAGGGCUAAGUAAUUAUGUAAUGGAACCUUUGCU